rnacentral:rRNA from 1 species
GACGAACGCUGGCGGCGUGCCUAACACAUGCAAGUCGAACGGGGUGAUACCUUCGGGGAUCACUUAGUGGCGAACGGGUGAGUAACGCGUGAGAAACCUGCCUUUCAGUGGGGGACAACAGUUGGAAACGACUGCUAAUACCGCAUAACAUACACGGACCGCAUGAUCUGUGUAUCAAAGAUUUAUCGCUGAAAGAUGGGCUCGCGUCCGAUUAGGUAGUUGGUGGGGUAAUGGCCUACCAAGCCGACGAUCGGUAGCCGGACUGAGAGGUUGAAACGGCCGACAUUGGGACUGAGACACGGCCCAGACUCCUACGGAGGCAGCAGUGGGAAUAUUGCACAAUGGGGGAAACCCUGAU